UACGGGGGGGGCAAGCGUUGUUCGGAAUUACUGGGCGUAAAGGGUUCGUAGGUGGCCCGCUAAGUCAGGCGUGAAAUCCCUCAGCUCAACUGGGGAACUGCGUCUGAGACUGGUGGGCUUGAGUGCAGGAGAGGAACGCGGAAUUCCAGGUGUAGCGGUGAAAUGCGUAGAUAUCUGGAGGAACACCGGUGGCGAAGGCGGCGUUCUGGACUGUUACUGACACUGAGGAACGAAAGCCAGGGGAGCAAACGGG
rnacentral:rRNA from 1 species